CCACAAUAUGUCUUUCUUUUCCUUUUUCUUUCCUCCUUGAGUAAGAAGACUUUAGCAGCAACCAGUGUUGUUUGAGGAUACAUCCCAAAUGUUUAAGUAGAGGAACUGCAAGGUUGCGCUGACUGUGUCUGAUGGGACUUAAAAUGGAGAUCUCUUCUGAACAAGAUGGCUGAAUAAAACAGAAUAUGAGUUUCCACAUUUUGGUGAAGAAAUGAGUGAACAGGACCUCUGACUGACUCAUCCCAAGGGAAACCAGAAAAGCAAUAUGGAAAAUGUUACCCUGAAUAGCUGCAGACAAAGCUAACAGAGAAAAGGAGG